UGUGCAAUGAGCCUUGCAAGGGCUUAAGAAUUUUUUUCUUUUGUCAGAUAAUGCCGGGGAAGGUUUUUCCGGUUUAUCCCGGAGGGCUUGUAGCUCAGUUGGUUAGAGCGCGCGCUUGAUAAGCGUGAGGUCGGAGGUUCAAGUCCUCCCAGGCCCACCAAUUUAUGAUGAUUUAAUAGGAUUUAAUGAACUAUCUCUAGUUAUUAUUUUCUUAUAAUCAUAGCUUAUCGCGUUUUUGAUGCUUUAAGACGGUUAUUUAAAUCAUUUUUUAAAUAAUUCUGUUUAUUUAAUUUUAUUUAAACAUUUUACCCUUUUGAGGGGCCGUAGCUCAGCUGGGAGAGCACCUGCUUUGCAAGCAGGGGGUCGUCGG
rnacentral:misc_RNA from 1 species